rnacentral:rRNA from 1 species
AGUAGAGUGGCGCACGGGUGAGUAAUGCAUAGGAACGUACCUAUAGGUAGGGGAUAACCACGGGAAACUGUGGCUAAUACCGUAUAGUCAGGAAACUGUAAAGUAGGCUUCGGCUCGCGCCUAUAGAUCGGCCUAUGUCCCAUUAGCUAGUUGGUAGGGUAAUGGCCUACCAAGGCGACGAUGGGUAGCUGGUCUGAGAGGAUGAUCAGCCACACUGGGACUGAGACACGGCCCAGACUCCUACGGGAGGCAGCAGUAGGGAAUAUUGCACAAUGGAGGCAACUCUGAUGCAGCAACGCCGCGUGAGUGAAGAAGGCUCUUGGGUUGUAAAGCUCUUUCGUCUGGGAAGAAGGGGCCUCUUGCGAACAGUUAGAGGUUUUGACGGUACCAGAAUAAGAAGCACCGGCUAACUCCGUGCCAGCAGCCGCGGUAAUACGGAGGGUGCGAACCGUUGUUCCGAAUUACUGGGCGUUAAACGCACGUAGGCGG